ensembl:rRNA 5S_rRNA 5S ribosomal RNA
GCCAGCAGUCAUAUCACCCUGCAACUCACAACUGGUAACCCACUGAAGCUAAGCAGGUGUGAGCCUGGUCAGUACCUGGAGGGGAGACCUCCUGGGAAAAAAAUAAGGUUGCUGCUGGAA